rnacentral:lncRNA from 1 species
GAUUGAAAACGGGCAAAUAUUCAAUGAAUGCCGUCAAGGAUGUAUAUACUUUAAAGACCUUGGUAACGUGUUAGAAUCGAAAUAAUAUAUCUCAUUUAGUGAUUUGCUCUUGAAUAAAACAUCUCCGCAUAGUUCAGUUAAGACACAUAUUUUCACAAGUAACUGUCGAUAAAAUAGAAUCUAUUUUUUCUUGACCACAAAGAAAAAAUUAUCUUAAUGAUUAGUUGUGCACAAGUUUAGAUCUAAUGUGUUUAAUGUACUUCCAAAGACCGAGCAAUACAGAUCGUAUAUUGCCAAGAAGCACUCGGGAAUAUGGAGUUGUGAUUCUGGAAAAGUAAUUAGUGUGACAUCAUGGUGCUAUAAACAUUAUAACUACACAUGUAAAGAUAUUUGUCAUGCUCUGUCCAGAGACCGUUGUGAAAAUGGUGGAACAUGCGUUCCGAAGGGUGCAAGUUUCACAUGUUCGUGCAUGCCAGGGUUUGAAGGCGAGAUAUGUCAAGUCAAUAUUGACGACU